rnacentral:rRNA from 1 species
AUCGAUGAAGAACGCAGCGAAAUGCGAUAAGUAAUGUGAAUUGCAGAAUUCAGUGAAUCAUCGAAUCUUUGAACGCACAUUGCGCCCGCCAGUAUUCUGGCGGGCAUGCCUGUUCGAGCGUCAUUUCAACCCUCAAGUCCCCUGUGGACUCGGUGUUGGGGACCGGCGAGACAGCCGCGGAUCUUCUUCCGCAGCGAGUCGCCGCCCCCCAAAUGACUUGGCGGCCUCGUCGCGGCCCUCCUCUGCGUAGUAUAGCACACCUCGCAACAGGAGCCCGGCGAAUGGCCACUGCCGUAAAACCCCCCAACUUUUUCAGAGUUGACCUCGAAUCAGGUAGGAAUACCCGCUGAACUUAAGCAUAUCAAUAAGCGGAGGAAAAGAAACCAACAGGGAUUGCCCCAGUAACGGCGAGUGAAGCGGCAACAGCUCAAAUUUGAAAUCUGGCCCCCAGGGUCCGAGUUGUAAUUUGCAGAGGAUGCUUUUGGCAAGGUGCCUUCCGAGUUCCCUGGAACGGGACGCCAUAGAGGGUGAGAGCCCCGUCUGGUUGGAUACCGAGCCUCUGUAAAGCUCCUUCGACGAGUCGAGUAGUUUGGGAAUGCUGCUCUAAAUGGGAGGUAUAUGUCUUCUAAAGCUAAAUAUUGGCCAGAGACCGAUAGCGCACAAGUAGAGUGAUCGAAAGAUGAAAAGCACUUUGAAAAGAGGGUUAAAUAGUACGUGAAAUUGUUGAAAGGGAAGCGCUCAUGACCAGACUUGGGCCCGGUGAAUCAUCCAGCGCUCGUCGCUGGUGCACUUUGCCGGGCUCAGGCCAGCAUCAGUUCGCUCCGGGGGACAAAGGCUCUGGGAAUGUGGCUCCUCCGGGAGUGUUAUAGCCCACUGCGCAAUACCCUGGGGCGGACUGAGGUUCGCGCAUUCGUGCAAGGAUGCUGGCGUAAUGGUCAUCAGUGACCCGUCUUGAAACACGG